rnacentral:rRNA from 1 species
ACGAACGCUGGCGGCGUGCUUAACACAUGCAAGUCGAGCGGUAAGGCCCUUUCGGGGGUACACGAGCGGCGAACGGGUGAGUAACACGUGGGUGACCUGCCCUCAGCUCUGGGAGUAAGCCUGGGAAACUGGGUCUAAUACUGGAUAUGACUCCACGGUGCAUGUCGUGGGGUGGAAAGCCUUGUGCGGUUGAGGAUGGGCCCGCGGCCUAUCAGCUUGUUGGUGGGGUGAUGGCCUACCAAGGCGACGACGGGUAGCCGGCCUGAGAGGGCGACCGGCCACACUGGGACUGAGACACGGCCCAGACUCCUACGGGAGGGCAGCAGUGGGGAAUCUUGCGCAAUGGGCGAAAGCCUGACGCAGCGACGCCGCGUGAGGGAUGACGGCCUCGGUUGUAAC